UUGGUCUUUUUAUUUUUUAUUUUUUUUUUUUCGUUGCAAAGAUGGGUUGAAAGAGAAGGGCUUUCACAAAGCUUCCCGAGCGUGAAAGGAUUUGCCCGGACAGUUUGCUUCAUGGAGCAGUUUUUUCCGCACCAUCAGAGCGGCAAACAUGAGUGCUUGUAUAAGUUUAGAGAAUUGAGAAAAGCUCAUUUCCUAUAGUUAAUAGGACAUGCCUUUGAUAUGAAAAAAAUACUACGAACUACGAUUUUACCAAGAAAGAUGUAAGAGACAAGUGAACAGUGAACAGUGAUAGUGGGGACAUUUUUUUUUUUUAAGUAAAUGGCAGUUUCUAGGGAAUGAUGAUGGCAAGUUCCAGAGAGGCAGCGUAAAAGGAUGAGGCUACUGGGAAGAAGAAAGAGGAAAAGUGCAAGAUGAAUAGCCAGUGCAAUAUAUACAUGUAUACUUAACAGAUAUGGAAUGGUUGGCGAAGUAAAUUUUUGGCGACGCGGUAUGCGGAGUUGUAAGAUGUACUACGAUCAUAUAGUGUAAUGCGGCAAAAUGUUAGUGCAGGAAAGCGGGAAGGAAUAAGAAGCAACUAAACGAGGGUGUAGAAAAAGACGAAGAGGGAAAUGGAGGGAAGAGAACAAAACCGGAGUGUUUUUUUUGUAGGAAUAUCGGAGGAGAAUAUUGUUUGUACAUAUCAAGUAGUAGCAACCCAAUGAGCAUAAUGGAGUGCUUAACUCUUCAGAAGAAGAGUGCAGCUGGAUAGUGCGAAUUUUUCUGAAUCGAAUGGUAGGUUAGUUAUGGGAUUUAGCAUAGGAAGCCAAGAAACUAGAAAAAAAAAAAAAAAAAAAGAAAUAAA
rnacentral:rRNA from 1 species